CAGGAAAAUGAAUAUGUUUUCCUGGCACUAUAGUGGUCCUUUAAAGGACCACUAUAGUGCCAGGAAAACACUAGUUUUCCUGGCACUAU
rnacentral:miRNA from 1 species